rnacentral:rRNA from 1 species
CCCGCUCAGAAACUCAAAGGAAUGACGGGGCCCGCACAAGCGGAGGAGCAUGUGGUUUAAUUCGAUGAUACGCGAGGAACCUUACCUGGGCUCGAACGUAAGAUGACUGUAGGUGAAAGCUUACAUCUCUUCGGAGCAUUUUACGAGGUGCUGCAUGGUUGUCGUCAGCUCGUGCCGUGAGGUGUCGGGUUAAGUCCCAUAACGAGCGCAACCCUACCUUUAGUUGCCAUCAGGUAAUGCUGGGGACUCUAAAGGAACUGCCUACGCAAGUAGUGAGGAAGGCGGGGAUGACGUCAAAUCAGCACGGCCCUUACGUCCAGGGCUACACACGUGCUACAAUGGCCGAUACAGAGGGCAGCUACCUGGUGACAGGAUGCAAAUCUCCAAAGUCGGUCUCAGUUCGGAUCGGAGUCUGCAACCCGACUCCGUGAAGUUGGAUUCGCUAGUAAUCGCGCAUCAGCCAUGGCGCGGUGAAUACGUUCCCGGGCCUU